AUGAAGUUCAAGCAAUGCAAUCUGCCAGUAACUCCUCGAAUACUGGAUGGAGCAACCAUUCUUGCUAAACAAGGAGACCGGUUGAAGGUGUCCCUAACAUUUUCCUUUACAUUUAAAUGUACACACUUAUACUUUUUCCUUCAAUCAUCCAGUUUUGUAUAAAUGCAACUGUAGUAGUGGAUUAUAUUUUUCUUGAAUAACAAUUGCAUUCUAUGGCUGGAUUCUAAUCGAAUCCUGAUUGUUUUCUUUUUGAAUCUGGAUUUAGACUGGUGGACAUGGCGAUCAACUUCCCUAAGAUUGGAUUAGUUGUACARGGAUCUCAAAGAAAGCAUUGAAUCUAUAAAGCUCAAAUUUCCCCAUCCAUUCUUCAUCUCUUUUGGAUCUUUUUGAUAUAUUUUGUUGGUUCCUUUCGGGAAUAGAUGUCUUCWUCUYUGAGUUGGAGAGGUUGGAGCUUUCUAUGCACAAUGUAGAAGGUAACCAUAGACACAAUCUAGGAGAGUUGUGAACCACUGCAAGAUGGUUAAGAGUAAGCGUGUCCAUGAAAAGUGGAGUUGUCCUGACAUGGAAUUUUUACAAAAGUAUAUUUUUUAUGCUCAAGGCCGUAAAUCUCUUGAUUUGUCUUGAUUUAAUGUUAAGUGUGCAUAAAUGUAAAAGAUUAUCAAGAUAUUGGAUGUAGAUGUCUAAGUUAAUUAGGUGUUUAUAACCGGAGUCUUUUGUUGUAGAAAUCAUUAACUUAUGAUAUAAUUAUUUUGUAUUCAUGUAUUGUAAUUUGUAAACGUAUGCAACUUUUAUUUUGUCGAGAAUACUUUUCUAUAUGACC